AAAGGCUGCGGUAUUUUGACCGUACAAAGGUAGCAUAAUCAUUAGUUUUUUAAUUGAAAACUCGUAUGAAUGGUUUAACGAAAUAUUGACUGUUUCAUAAAAAUUUAAAUAGAAAUUAAUUUUUUAGUUAAAAAGCUAAAAUAAAAUUAAAAGACGAGAAGACCCUAUAGAGUUUUAUACUAAAUAUUUUAUAAUUUAUUUAUAAUAAUUAAAAUUUUAUUGUUUUUUGUAUUUUGUUGGGGUGACAAUAAAAUUUUAAAACCUUUUAUUUUUUAUUAAACAAUGAUUUUUGAUUAAUUGAUCCACUAUUAGUGAUUAUAAGAUUAAAUUACCUUAGGGAUAACAGCG
rnacentral:rRNA from 1 species